rnacentral:lncRNA from 1 species
AGUACAUAAACGCCUACGUCAGAAUCUGGAGUCAGCUGGAGUGUGCCAGCAGGUAAGGGAGAGCUGGGGCGCUCACUUGAGUGCUGGGAGCCAAAGAAGUAAUAACUACCUUUGGUUGGGUGUGGUGGUACACAAAGCACAAGGCCUGGGUGGGGGUUAGGAGGAAAUGAGGCAGGGUUGGCCUCAGACACCAAGGCCUAUCCUAGGGAAAUGGGGAUGGAGAGGCGCCAUGGUCUGACAACUGUCUUGAGUGGUGAAACUGUGGGGACUUGGUAACUGAGUGAAUGGGGAAGAGGGAGCGCUGGGCUAGUGUUGGUUCCGAGUUUCCUGGAUGUGGUGUCAUUUUCUGAGAGGGGGAGAGUAGGAGAAGGGUGAGCAGUGAUAAGUGUAGUUCUAAGGAAUUGGGGCGGCCACAGGCAGUGGGCAGCUUAUCGCGGGGAUCUGACGCACAGGAAGUGGCACAUGGAGAAGUCACAGGGCAGUGAGAUUUUCAGGGGAAGGGUGGGGGUGGAAGGAGCUGUGAGUGAAAUCCUGUGGCACAGGACUGGGAGUGAGGAGGGGUGAGAGAUAGAAGAAGCCUCCUAGGCUUUCUAGUCUUUCCCUCAAACCCCCUCAGACCUCUGAGCUAUGAAGGAGGGUGGGUUACCCUACCACAAGGGCAGAGGCCUACUCAGGGCCUGAUGCUGAGAUGCAGGAUCCCUCACUCCAGGCCAGGCCUUCCCCACCGUGCAGAGCGCCCCUACACCAGGUGUCGAUAUUGAUUAUGCAAUAGAAAGCAGGAGGCAGCUCCUUGAGGGGGGCUGGGCAUAAACUCACAGCCUGUAAGUGACGGCAUAUGGUGGGAAAGAGUCCGGACCCACCCAGAAACAGGUUUGUGCCCUUAACAAGUCACUUAACUCUCUCAGAUCCCAGCAGCUCAUCUGUUAAGUGGAGAUGAUACCAACCUAUUAGGGAUGUUGAGAUAUGUAAAGCACUUAGAACAGUGCAAGGCAGAAAAUAAAUGUAUCCAUUCUUGGAGUCGAGGGUUGGGACACGCUGCUGUGUGUUAUGUUAAAGACCCAGGAGUUGGAACUGAGCCACACUCAUCAAGGCCCCAGUGUUUCAAGCAGGGAUGAAAACUGUUAGGCAUCAUUUUUCCUAGCUUAGUCUUCUGAGUUGCAGGGUGGAGAUGCCAAAUACUAACAUCAGAUGGGCAGAUCAAGGUGAUAAAGCUGUAGGUGUGACACAAUCCAUGUUGGCCUGCUAUCAUUCUGGGGACUUGGAAAUGGCCCUGGCUUCAUGUUACACUCACCUUGCUCUAAAAGCGGAUAGCAACUGCCAAUUUCCGGGUUCCAGCCAGAGCAACUGAAUCAGAAUCUGUGGAGGUAAUACAGGGACAUGUGGCUUUUCAAAGAUGUUUCAGGUAACUAAUAGCCAAGGUGGAGAAGAGGUGAUCUACCCCUCUCCCCAGCAUUUCAAAGGUAACCUUCUCUCCUAGAUUAGCUACUUUUAAGGAUUUAGGGUUAAACAUGCCCUUUCCAGAUCUUCAGGCUGUUCUUUCUUUCCUGGUUGCUUGAAGAGACUUUUAAAGAUGGACUCAACUAUUUAUAAGGCAACAUGAAAAUCUAUAAAAGCCAAGGCAACAGCUAUACAGGAAUUAAUGCUUUGGAGACCAGAGCUUUUUCUGGAUGAAGAAAAUGGAAGCCCAUAAGAACCCCCAACUUUGCCAUCCCUUUCAAAUCCCUCUCUGCUUCUGCCUCACCUCCCCACCUCCGCCAACCAUCCCCCAUUCACUAUCCUGAGGCAGAAUGCCCAGGACUCAAGGCUGGAGGUAGAGGGCUGAGCAGUGUACCUAAAAAGCUGCUUCAAGUUCAUGGCGGUACGUGGAAUCAAAAAUAGCUCUGUGGUCAGUCUGGGAGGAUGCUAAGGAACCAAUUCAUUUUUAAAAUAAUGAGGAAAAGAAUUAAACAUUUAUCAUGCUUUUAAAUUUUAUUUAUUUAUUUAUUUAUUUGAGAUGGAGUCUUGCUCUGUCACCCAGGCUGGAGUGCAGUGGCGCAAUCUCGGCUCACUGCAACCUCUGCCUCCCAGCUUCAAGUGAUUCUCAUGCCUCAGCCUCCCUGAGUAGCUGGGCUUACAGGUGCCCACCAUCACGCCCAGCUAAUUUUUGUAUUUUGAGUAGAGACAGGGUUUCGCUAUGUUGGCCAGGUUGGUUUUGAACUCCUGACCUCAUGUGAUCUGUCCACCUUGGCCUCCCAAAGUGCUGGGAUUACAGGUGUGAGCCACAGCGCCCAGCCCAUCCUGCCUUUUUUAUAUGGGCUCUUCCUCAGGGCUACUAAAUAGUUGAUGAGAGGAAAUUUUAUAAGUAUUCUAGCUAAUCAAAGAAGAAGGAGCCAAUCAAAAUUUUACAAUUUUUUUUAAACUUUAAAGAAUUAAUGGAUCCUAGGGAAUGAUCAUCAAUGUUUGCUAAAAUCAUGAAAAGGCAACCAGUUACUGUGCACUUCAUGAUGGAAGAAGACAUCACCUCCUAUUAAUUUUUCUUGCACAAAAUUGAAGUUGAAUCUCAACCUAAAUACCAGUUAUAAGAAAUAUAAAGGUGCCCCUUUUUAAAAUAUCAGGAAGAGACUAGAAUGAUCCAUGUAAUAGUGGAUUCGAGUUGGAGACAUCAGUAUUAACUCAUGUUUAACUUAAUAUAGCUACAUAUGUUUAUAUAGGGAAAUAUUUGUAGAUAUGUACACACCUCUUUUAUAAAGUCACUAAUCUAAUUUGUGAGGCCCCUGCCCUCAUGACCUAAUCACCUCCCAAAGGCCCUACUUCCAAAUGCCAAUAAAUUGGGAGUUAGGAUUUCAACAUAUGAAUUUAGGGGGAACAAAAAUAUUCAGUUGAUAGCAAUCAUGAAAUACAAUGAAAGUCUGAGAAACUCUCACAACAAAGACUAGCCUAAGGACACAUGACAUGACUAACUGGAUUAGAUAAAUCUGAAUAAGGUAUAGACUUUGUCUAAUGAUAAUGUAUCAAAAUUGGUUCAUUAUUGCAAGAAAUGUACCAUAAUAAUGUAAGAUGUUAAUUACAGAGUAAAUUAGGUGGAGUAAUGGGAACUCUAGGUACUAUCUCCACGCUUUUCCUGUAAAUAUAAAAAACUUUAAAAAAUAUAUAGAGGAGGUCUCAGUAUAUUGCCCAAGCUGGUCUCCAACUCCUGACCUCGAGCUAUCUUCCCACCUGCACUUCCUAAAAUAUUAGGAUUACAGGCGUGAGCCACUGCACCUGGCCUGCAAAUGUAAAACUUUUUUAAAAGUUUGUUUUUAAAACACAUGAGGAUGCAAUCAGUAAAUCCUAGACUGAAAGUUUACAAGAAAAAUGACCUGGUUUCAGUAGUAAAUGAAUUACAAGGGAAAAAGAAAUAUGGUGGUAGACUCUAUACAUUAAAAGAGAUUGAGGAGACAUAUCAAUUGAAGCACCUGGGCUUUAUUCUAAUUUGAACAAACAAAUUCAAAUAGUGAGGGACAGGAGAAUACUGAUUGGAUAUUUUAUAUACAGGAAUUAUGGAUAAUUGAGAUGUGAUAGUAUUGUGGCUAUGUUUCUUAAAAGAGUUAUCUUUUAGAGAUACAUAUAUUUAAAUAAAGUUUUGCAUUGUACAAAACUCUUUCAAUGAGAGGAUCCCCUUUGGUUCAGGAGAGGGAGAGAGGUAAGAGUGUAGUCUCACUUUUUAGGCAGGAAGAAACUGACAGCAAACAUCUGCCAUCUGACAGUUAUUUUUAAACCAUUCCACUUAAUCCUCAUGAAAUUUUCCAGGUGCUUUGAAUGCAGAGCCAAGGUUGAGAACUACUAAUUUAGAAGACUAUACCAUGGUGGGAGUGGGGAGGAGAUGCUACCAGCAGAGAGCUAUCAGCUAGAGGCUGUAAUUUUACCCAAUUACUUCCUGAAAGUGCUAGAUGCUGUUGCUUAUUAUUAUUAAGCAUUCACAUAACCUAAAAUCCCAUUCAGGAGCCUUAAAGGAGGUGCAUUUUCUAGAAGCUAACACUGUUUUUGGUUAUUUGCAGGUAUAGCAUCAAAACUAUCCACUGCUCUGUUAUCCGGAGUUCAUUAAGUAGAUCCAUUUCACACUAUCAGGACAGAAUUUUUCAGACACCUGAAGCUCUGUGCCUAGACCUUAUUUAUUUAUUUAUUUAUUUAUUUAUUUAUUUAUUUAUUUAUAUUUUGAGACUGAGUCUCACUCUGUCACUCAGGCUGGAGUGCAUGGUGUGAUGCACUCCAUCUCCCAGGUUCAAGCAAUUCUCCAUCUCCCAGGUUCAAGCAAUUCUCCAUCUCCUAGGUUCAAGCAAUUCUCCAUCUCCCAGGUUCAAGCAAUUCUCCAUCUCCCAGGUUCAAGCAAUUCUCCUGCCUUGCCCUCCCCAGUAGCCGGAAUUUCAGGCGCCUGCUGCCAUGCCUGGCUAGUUUUUGUAUUUUAGUAGAGAUGGAGUUUCACCAUGUUGGCCAGGUUGGUUUCGAACACCUGACCUCGUGAUCCACCCACCUCGGCCUCCCAAAGUGCUGGAAUUACAGGCGUGAGCCACUGAGCCUGGCCACCUAGACCUGUUUAAUUGAAUACCCCACAAGCACCCCAAACUCAAAACACCCAGGAAUGAACUCAGUAUUUUUCCAGCCGCCCAAUCUGCAUGUCUUCCUGUAUCACCAGCUCUGUGAAUGACCUGUCUCCUGCCCAGUCACCUGUGCUGUAAAACUACCAGUCCUCACAGACCACUCCAUCACUCCUCUACCCAUCCAGUCAGUCCUCAGUUCUCUCUCAUGAUCUCCCCUCAGGAUGUCUUGACUUCAUCAGAUGCAAGUCAGGCCUUCAUCUUUUCUCACCUGGACAAACCUCCUGCCUUUCUGUCCUGCUUCCAGUCUCACCCUUUUCAAACCUGCUCUCCACCCAGUGCCAUGAUACAGCUAAAGAUCAUGUUCAUCAAUAACUUUGCAGUGGCUGCCCCUAAAUACAGGACACAGCAGAGCAAAUGUGACAGCAUGUAUCUGAGCUUUGCCUUCUGUAUUGGUGAUGUUUUGCUGAAACAUACUGUAAAAUGUGUUAACACCAUCAAAAGAAACAUUCAUUAUUUCACAGUGUCUGUAGGUCAGGAAUUAAAAGGGGGUGGUUCUAGCUUAGAGUUUCUCAUGAGGUUUUAGUCCAGAUGUCAGCCAGAUCUGUAGUCAAAUGUAGGCUUGACCAGGGCUGGAGAAUAUGCUUCCCAUAUCUCACUGACACAGCUGGCAAGGUGGUGCUGGCUGUUGGCAAAAUGUCUCAAUUUUUUAUCCCAUAGAUCUCUCCAUAGGGUUGCCUACAUGUUCUUACAACACAGUGGCUGGCGUCCUCCAGUGUGGGUGAUACAGAUGAAAUCCAUGUGUUUUAUGACCUAGUCUCAGAAGUCACACACCAUCACUUCUACAUUAUUCUGUUGGUCACACAGGCCGCCCCGAGGCAGUGUGGGAAGGAUCUACACAGGACGUGAAUACCAGAAGUGAGAAUCACUGGAAGUCAUGUUGGAGGCUGGCCACUAUCCCCUUCUCGCUAAACCUGACAUUAUCACUCUCAUAUUUCAUGUUCCACCAGCACCAAAAGAUUUCAGAUUCCCAGAACCUAUAGGGCUGUGUCUUCCAUCUUUGUGUUCCUCAUGCCUGCAAGAUCUUUUCCUCUCUUUUGUCUGGUGAAUUCUUAUCAUUCAAAAUUGUGUGCUUAUACUUAGUGCCUAGUACAGAAUGGGAGCUCAACACACGUUGAGCUGAAAUCCAAAGAAUAGAAUUAGAAGGGAUAGUCCAGGUAGGCUCCAUGCUAUCAUCCCACAUUACCUUGAAAUAUGCUGAAGGCCAGGAAAGUCAGAGUUUGUGGCUCACCUGGGCCAUAUUGAAAAAGGGUAUCCAUAUUUUGUCUAAGAAGCCACAGAAUAAUAUAGUUGGAGACAAACUUCCUCCAGAUUUAUAAAAAUCAAUGCCAAAAAAAUUUUUUACAAGCCCAAGGAUUUGAUAAAAAAAAAAAAGUGUUGGAGGAGGAAUAAAGAGUGAUGUCAGGAGAAGGAAGACAUGUUGGUUAGCUUAUUGACAUAAUAAUGCCACAUAACAACCAACCACAAAUCCUGAAUAGCAUGCAGCAAGAAAUAUGUAUCUCUUGCCUGGGAGUUUUAUGUCCCCUGGAGCGGCUCUGCUUUGCCUGCAGUGGCUGAGAUGACUUUGCGUCACUCUGUGGGUUGGCUGGUGUGGCUCUGUUCCAUCUCUGUCAUCCUCCUAUGAUAGGCUGGCUGGUGAUGAGGGAGAUGCAAGAGAACAUAUCCAACUGCACCGACAUGUUUCCAGCCCCUUAGUAUAUUCCUCAGCCAAAACAAGUUCCAUGGCCAAACUCAGAGUCAAGGAGUGGGGAAAUAUUGAGAACUACAAAGUUAUAAGGCAAUAGUCAGGGGUUUAGGGAGGGGUAAAUUGGGACUAAAAAUUCAAACUAUCAAAGUGGGAAAAGCCACAAAAUUUUGGGAAGGAAAAAGAAUGUUUCUAGCUGUUGAAAGAUUGUCUCCUGAACUAAACCUAAAAAUCUACUUUGAAAAUAUUCCUGCUGGGGCCAGGUGCAGUGGCUCAUGCGUGUAAUCCCAGCACUUUGGGAGGCCGAGGCAGACGGAUCACCUGAGGUCAGGAGUUCAAGACCAGCCUGGACAACAUGGUGAAACCCUGGCUAUACUAAAAGUACAAAAAAUAAUAGCCAGGUGUGGUGGCACUUGCCUGUAAUCCCAGCUACUCAGGAGGCUGAGGCAGGUGAAUCGCUUGAAGCCGGGAGGCGGAGGUUGUGGUGAGCCGAGAUCGCACCACUCCGCUUUAGCCUGGGCAACAGAAUGGGACUCUGUCUCAAAAAUAAACAAAUAAAUGAAAUAAAAAAGAAAAUAUUCCUAUUGGUGUCAAGUUUUCAAUUCUGUAUAAAUGUUAAUAACUGUGGUACUCCUAGUGAAUAUUUGUGUAUUAUUUUAUAAUGUAUAUUUGUUGAACCAAAUUUCUGAACUUCCUUCUAAAGUUAAGGAAAAAACUUGAGCAUCCUAAGAUUUCUGGCAAUGAUGAACACUGUGGUGUUGCAGACUCAUGAAGUGAGUUGAGGCACUGAAAGAAAGCAAGGCUGGUCUGGAGAGUCCACUGACUUGCCUUCCAGAGCUGUCUUCCUCAUGGUUCUGUCAGCUCUUAGCUGGCUCUCAGCUAAUUUCUGGUCAAGUGCUAGCUGAAAAUGGCUAAAAGUGUUUAUCUUUCAGGGUGCAUUUGGAUGGUAAUUAUAGAAGCCUAGAAACCUAAGGGAGUCUUCAGGGAUGAAUCUCCAAUGGUGGAAGAUGAGGUAGCUUGAUAAUACAUUUAAUGAUUUUUUUUCCUCAAAGUUGAGAACAUUUUAUGGCAUUUAAAGCACUUCUACACAUUAGGCUGAAUCACGGUGGCAAUUUCAUGUGAUUCAACCUAUUGUAUUAUUUAUUCUUUACAGCAAUCUUCAGACACAGGCAGGAAACAGAUUCAGGGGAAAUCACUUAGUUGCUUUAGAUCACACAGUAAAUGGUAAGAGUAGGCCUGGAAUCCAAGUCAUCUGCUAUCAAGUUCAAUUUUUUUCCUUACACAGGUGUGGCAGAAGUACUUUAAAACAUUUGUUUUGCUCUGUGUCCACCCGUGCCUCUCUCCUUCCCCCAGCCCCACACUUUCUCCUUCUCUUUGCCUGUUUCUGUUUAUCACCUUAGUGGCCUGGCCCCAUUCCCUUCUGAUACACUAGCUAGUGAACCCAUCAUCUUGAAAGAGGAAUGUGGUAUAUUUCCCCCUGUUGAGCUACUGCUUAAUUUGUCAGCCUCCUUUACUCUGAGCCCACUGUGAUGGCUGGACUCUUAAAAUAUACCUAGGGCUUUGCUCCAACUUCAGCCCCAAAGACAUUAAAUAAUUAACUUCCAGCACUCUCCUUUGUGUGCUUUAUCUCUGCAUCACCCAAAAUAGCUGGUGGCAUUUCCUCUGUAUAAAUAGAAAGCAGAAAGGUCAACUGGCAUUUUUGAAAUAUAUAUGUAUAUAUAUAUUUUUUUUUACAAAGCAGCAAGCUAGCAGGAUCCCUUUAUUUGCUCAUACCUGUGACUGUUUCAUAACAAGAAACUUCCUAGUUUAACUCCUUAGUCAAUUUCCCCCACCAUCUUGCAGUUGGAUCGUUACUAAUACAAUUUGAAGUGGUUCAAAAUUAAGACUGAGUACAGCUGAAAGAGAAAGCAUUUUCUCAGUGGUGAUAAGUAAAAGAUUUAACAUUCAAGUAAUGUUAAAUCUUCUUCCCCACUCCCACCCCAGUGAACCAAAUGAAAGUAAACUUGAGUGAGCUUCUCUUUAGAGGCAUGGAGCUAUGAUUCAAAAUGAUAUUUCUUCCUAGCUCUUUUUUCUUUUGAGCCUGAUGAAGUGCAUAACACAAAUCCCUGGAGAGUAAGCUGUUUUUAGUCUGCACCUGUCUUCUAAGAACCAUGUUCUGAAAUGCAAGAUAGGAAGGUGAAUCUGUUUGUGAAAGAAACUAUUUGAAAAUCUAGCUAUUUCCUCUUAGGACCCAGCACACAAGUUUUGUUCUGUUCUAAUGUUAUAAAAACCAUCGACAAGAAGAUUGGGCAAUUUUUAUUAACUGGGGUAAUAUUAUGGUCCCCGCUCUUCCAGUCAUAUUUGCAAUCUGGUUGGUCACAAAAGGGCAUGUGAGCUCUGGGGAGCAUUUUCUGGGGUGAGGUCUCUUCCCUGUUAAUGUGAUGGCAAUUUGCAUGCCUGCUGUCAGCAGCAGUGUGGUCACAUGCCCCCAUCAUCCUAGGUUUCCCAGGGCAAACCUGAUUUUCAGUGUUCUACCAUGGCAACAACCACGGGUCGUAGAUUUUGACCUGGGAAACACACUCAAGUUCCAAAUUCUGAAAAGUCUCAGAUCCCACCUCCAGAAGCAGUAUUUGAGGUCUGCUUUUCCUGCUGCAGACACAGGGGCUGUGAGAGCACAGACAUGCUCCUGACCCCCAGCCUCCCAGCCAGGAAUAAUUCUCCAGUAUGCAGGGAGAGAGGGUGAGAAUGGGCAUCAUUAGCUUUGGGAAGAGGCAGAAUGAAGUUUUGUGCAGCCCCCAAAACCUCUCUAUAGUGUAAGGGAGUUGUGGGAACUCAGAAGAGUGAUGUUCAUAACCCUUGAGCACUAGAGAAAUUGUGGGUUCACCUGGGUGGUUCCUUUGGUUGCUGGGCAGGGAUAGAAGUGAAGCCACAGGAUAGAGUGUUAGGGCACAGUGGCCAUGCCCCUUUGUCCUUAAAAUAAGCCCAUUAAGUUCUCUCAAGUUAUUCACACUGACUCACCUACCACUCCACCCCAGUCACUACUUGCUUAUAUUCACUGUGAAGCAUUUGAAGUCUUUGGACCCUUCUUGGAAGUCCUCAUACCACCUUCCAAGAUGUGAGAUUAAUUAAGCCCCCAAUUAAGAGCAGCCAAAACACUGUUCCAAAAAGAGGGAGGGGGAGAAGAGAGACAACAGAAAGAAAGGUCUUGAACAAUUGUUCUGUGUGGUACCAGUGGCACUGGCACCACCUGGAAACAUGUUAGAAACCGUGAUCUCUUGAAUCAGAAAUGCUGGUGAUGGAAUCCACCAAUCUAUGCUUCAACAAGCACUCCAGGUGAUUCGAAUGCAUGCUCAAAUGUGGGAAUCACUGGUCUAAAAGAGUGCAUCAUGCAGGAAGCACAGCACCACUGAAAACAAGUUAGUAAGAUAAAGAAACUCUCUUAGUUUCCUCAGUCAUCAGCAGGAGGCUGAAAAGUGAAUAACAGUACUGUGGGCAUCAAAUUCACCCAGACAGUUCUGAAACAAUAGAUAUGUUUUAGCCCCUUGUCUUCCCAGAGAAGGGAGUGGGGUGGGUCUUGGUAUUGACAAAGAUUAUCUCCUCGACCAAACUUUAGACAGGCUCUUUUGAGCCCUCUUUUUUAUGAGGCCUCAUUCUUGGCUCUGUCUUCAGCCUGCCAAACCCAGUUUUAGCAAGAAUUCUGGUAAAGUCAGUUUAUUGAGAAUACCCCACAUUUGAUAGCUGAUCACCCUCAGUAUCUGAUCAAAUUCCUCAUCACCUGCCCUCAAUCUCUGAUGACCCUGGCCUUCCUCCAGUGGGAAUCUUAAGUCAGUUUAGCAGGAAUCUCCCUGCUAUGGUGUGAAUAUUUGCCUGCUCCAAAACUUAUGUUGAAAUUUGAUCCCCAAAGUGGUGAUGUUGGGAGGUGGGGCCUAGUGGAAAAUGUUUGGAUUAUGGGGGAGCACCCUGAAAAAUAGCUUGCUACUGCUCUGGAGUUCUUGCUCUCUAGGCUGGAUUGUUUCUUGAAGGAAUGGAUUAUUUCCCCAAAGGGUGGGUGUUAUAAUGCCAGGACACCCCUCAGGUUUCUCUGUCUUCCUACUUGUCCACUUCCCCUUCAUUGCCGUGUUGUGAUGGAACACAACAGCUUUUGCCAGAAGCCAGGGCCAUGCCGUUGAACUUCUCAGCCUACAAAACCGUGAGCUACAUAAACUUCUUUUCUUUAUAAAUUACUCAGCUUCUGGUAUUCUUUUAUGGCAACACUAAACAGAUGAAUACAACCCCCAACCUUUGAAUACUCCUUUUAGAAAUUUUCCAUCCACCAAGGCCCGUAUCCUGCUAAUUGGCUAUUAAUCUCUAGUUUUCUUUGCUUCAGCAAAGAAACUUCAGAGUUGAGCCCAAUGCCUCUCCCAUAUUGCAAUAUUGUUGAUACCUAUCAAAAUAGUCCUGAUUACAGUCUUUUUGCCAUUUCAAUAAGUGUCAAUAAUUUUUUCAUUAACAGUAUAUUUAAAUGUGUCUAUGUUUAAAAAGCUUCACAAGCAAAUCUAAUAUAGUUCCAUGGUUGAAAAUUCUGAUAGACACUGGUUAAGAGUAUGGAUUCUGGAAUGCGACAGACCUAGUUUCAAAUGCCAACUCUGCUUCUUGCAGCUGAGUGACUAAGCAAAUUACCUAACCUGAGCAUCUCUCUUUCUCUGUUGUCUCUCUCUCUCUCUUUCUCUCUCUUUCACUCUAUCUCUCUCAAGUUAGUGAAAAGAUCCAAUGAAGGCCCUUAAACUACUAAGCACAGUACUAGUACCCAACAGGCACCAAAUUAACCAAAUAUUACUGGCUCUAAGUAAUAAUUAUCAAAGGAUGGAUAUGUUACAUUCAAUAAGAAAGUUUUACAUAAGGAAAAGAUAAAAUAGGUGAUUUAUUUUGUAACUGUGAAAACUAUGUUUAUUUUGAAUACAAAUCUUGAAUUAUCUAUGGAUGAGUUUGAAAUAAAUCAUAGAAGAGAAUCACUUUUUGGAUUUUUAAUCCAGGUCCUUGUGUGUGUAUGAAAUACACACAUAUCUUCCUUAUUAGUCAUGGAAGGGCAAAAGUGGACCAAAAACAGGUCAGCUAAGACAGGCAUGUCUGGCUUCUGGGCUGUAGCUCAGCAUGUUGUAGGCUAGAGUCCAGUGACCUUCACUGGCAGGCUGCCUACAGUCCAUGAGACCCUAGGCAGUCAGGCACUGAGCUCUGUCCUCCAGCUGAAAAUAAUGAAGAGCACACGGCUUCUCCCCGGUCAUCGUCAGGGUGACUCAAUCCUGCUGGAAGCCCUGAGGGCGCACAUGAGAGAAAUGCUUUUCAAGGGAGCCAAACUUGAUCUAUAAGCUUAUCUCAGGGUAUAGUCCAAAUAACACUUAUGACUCCAAGCAUAGGCAGCCAUGCUUACUACUCUCUAAAGAAGCCAGUACUUCUGAUGAGGAAUUGAAAGUCAAGAUGGGAGCUCUGCUUUUGUAUCCAUUCCCCAUAAUAGAGUUCAGCUUAUAUGUUAAAUGAAUUUUCACAUAAAUUUGUCCACUUGAACUUCUGCUUCUUUUUGAUAGUUGCCUAGAGAUGGUUCUGGAGAGUAGGUUCUUUUCCCAUCGUGAUCAGCAACUGCUCUUCAAAGUACAGGAGCUGGUCCACUUCAAAACAGUCGCUGGCUUGAGGCACCACUUUUUCCAAACACUCGCGGAUCUCUGCUUCGCUAGCAUUCUGAUGCCUUGCUCUCUUGAGGUAAUUAUAGACCUCUUCAAAUACUUCUGUCCCCAGCUUCUGCAUGGCUGAUCUGUCAAAAAAGUUACAAAAGAUUACAAAGAGUUACACAUUAAGAUCACCUGCAGGAAAAUGUGCUUUUAAAUCAUUGAUUUUACAAACAUUGUCAUUCUGGGAUUUAGAAAAAAAGGGGGAAGAAAAGGCACAAUAUCUCCACCCUAAACAUUUAACAGUAUUCAACAAAUAAUGCCUCAAUGUCUAUUAUGUGCCAGGUACCCUUCAAGGAACUGGGAAUAUAGCAGUAAACAAGUUAGGCAAAGUCCUGCCCUUGUGUGUGUAUAUAUAUAUAAUACACAGAUAUACACACAGAUGUGUUUAUAUAAACGUAUGUAUAUAUACACAUAUACACAUAAGAUAUCAGAUGGUUCUAAGUGCAAUGAAGAAAAAGCAGGGUGAGGCGGACAGGAAAAUCCUUCUGAGGAAGUGUCAUUUGAGCAAAAGCUCUCAGGAAGUAAGACAAAUACUAGGGGCAAAAGAAUUUUGGCCCUAAGGCUAAAACAUAUUGGAAAAAUAACAAGAAAGCUAUUGUGGCUGGAGUUAGUAGAACAAAGGGAAACAGGAUGGUGGGAUAUAAAAUGCAGAAAUAGUUAAUAAUAACAAAAUAAUAAUGAGGAGGAGGAGGAGGAAAAUGAGGGGGAGAAUAGUUUUGUUUGCCACUUGCCAGGUCCUUUUCUACUCACUUUGCCCUUUCAAUCACACUUAACCUUUACAACAGCUGUACGAAGGAGGCAAUUUUUUAAAUCCCUAUUUUACAGAUGAAGAAACUGAGGCUUAAAAGGGGUAAAGUUAUUUGGCCAAGUUUCCACCAAGGCCGACAUUCAUUUUUUCCACACUUCCAGUGAUUGUCCAUAUGUCAACAUAAUCUUUAUGUUAUAAUCAUAUUGCCAUAUCUAGUAUGUUUAUUUCACCGUUGACUAUUUUCCUCUAUCUCCAGAAAGGGUCACAAACUAAAGACCUAUGGGCAACAUUUGGUCCAUAACAUGUUUUGUUUUUCAAUACCAUGUUUUAUCUUCCUUUAUUAUUUUUAAAUGUUUUAAUGUGAAUGUCUUUAUGUGGGGCCUGCAAGCACUCUGUACUCUGCAUUUUCUGACCGUCUUUGACCUACCUCCCCUAUCUUUUAUCAUCUUAUACCAGGCUCCUUCUCAUAGUUCUUCUACCCACUUAACUCAAGGGCAUUCAAGUUGGUGGAUUUUGUUUUGCGGUUCUUCACGGUUGUCGUUUUUAAUGGCUCCAUAUUGUUCCACUGAAUUUAUGUGCCAAUAUUUACUCCAUUUUCCCUUCACCAAACAAUGAGCUUUUUUUUGCUCCUUUGCACUAUAACAUAGUGUGAAUACCUCAUCUUUAGAUAUUAGGCUUUUACAUUUUAGGGGAAUAUUUUAUGACAUCAAAUUUUUAGGAGUUGGGCUAUUAUGUGUGUGUUCACUCUAAAAAUUUAUAUGUGUACUUAUGGUUUCUGCACUUUUCUCUGAAGAACAGAGAAAAGAGUAAAUAUAUGUUGUGCUUGAUUAAAUGAUAAAAAUGUUAUGGGAAUGAGAUUAUUAGGUCAAAGUGUAUAAAUAUUUGUGUGACUUUAACUUGAAGAAAUAUUACUUUUUCUUCAUUUCAAUGGAUUUGGUAAAAAGAAAAACCAGGAUGUGUAUUUUUUUUUUUUGGAGAUGAAGUCUCUGCACUGGUGUGAUCUCAGCUCACUGCAUCCUCUGCCUCCCAGGUUCAAGCGAUUCUCCUGCCUCAGCCUCCCGAGUAGCUGGGAUUACAGGUGCCUGCCACCACGCCUGGCUAAUUUUUGUAAUAUUGGUAGAGAUGGGAUUUCACCAUGUUGGCCAGGCUGGUCUCGAAUUCCUGACCUCAGGUGAUCCCAAAGUGCUGGCAUUACAGGCCCACCUUGGCCUCCCAAAGUGCUGGGAUUACAGGUGUGAGCCACCGUGUCCGGCCUUUUUUCACAAUUUUUGAAGCAUUAAUGCUUAACAGUAAUGAUGGUAAUGUUGAUAAUAACAUUGGAGACAUUAGUCACAGACUCAUUCAUUUUAUAAGCUUUUAUUGUUCAGUGUUAUUCAAGCUUGUAAUCUCUAAAUCAUAGGAUAUGUGUUACGUAUUGUGGCCGAUAAAGAGAUGAAUAGGUAAUUCUUCUAGCUCUGGUUUAAAGGCUGGUCAUGACAAUGCAAGACAUAAAUUUUUAAUUUUAACUAACAUUUCUAUAGCCCUUUAGAGCUUGCAAAGUGCUUUUGCAUUCAUUAUUUCAAAUGCUCCUUAUGAACUAGGCAAUUCAUUGAACAUUUGUCUUCAUUUUACAGAUGAGAAUAAGCAGGUUUUUCGUAGCCUUUCACAAGCUCACACAGUUAGUGUGGUAGAGUUUGGACUCAAAUGCUGAUCUUAAAACACCAGAUGCUGGAGAAACCAGCAGCCCUAGGCUCCACAAUAAGUUUCCCACCUUCUGUCAUGAGAUUGUCAGGACUGAUUCCAGCAUGCCUAACAUCCCUAGUCACCUCAGUCACCCCCACAAAAUCCAGGUGUUUCUUUUGCUGACAUCUACCAAACCCUGGUCAUUCUCUUCAUACACUGAUUACUUCAGUGACUAGCCCACUCUUUCUUCCACCUUGUACUCUUGUCAUCAUUCUUAACUUCUGUAUUCUUGCUGUCUCUGGUUUUGAACUGCCUCGCAUUCAGCCAUCAUUUCUUUUACCCUACCUGAGUUGCCCAUUCCCAUGAUCAUAUCAAUUGACCUCAUCAGUGCCAAUGACUACAUGACCUCUGAAAUUGAUUUCAAGCCUCCUACUCUCUAAUCACCCCCUCAAUGCCCUCCCACCAUACUUACCAGCUAAUCUUCCACUUCAUGGUGCCCUUCACUUCGACUCUACCCCCAUGAUAAUAAUUACUCACUUCUUUUGUAACCUCAUAUACUCACUCCUCACCUACCUCCUCACAGUUAAUUUCAUGGCCCAUCAUCAUAACCAUUAUCUCGCAAAUACCUUUGACUUUUUCCACCCCUUUCCCUUUGUUUGGCAAAGACCUAAUGGUUAAACUCAGUCGUAUACCUACUCCAUGGCUGUACCCAAACAAGAGAAUAUUUAUGGAGAAAAGCAUCCAAAUAUACCAAGUCUCUCAUUUAAGAUGAUAAUCUUGAUUCAGAAUGGCACUCAGCACUGCCCAGCAAUCUUACCGUGUUUCCCCAGUAUGUUUAUUUUCCUCCCAAAAUGACUACUUCAAAUGUUUUCCUUUAUUCUUUUAAAAAAUAUUUUAUUUUUGAUUUUUAAAUUUUAUUGUGUAUAUUUGAGGUUUACAACAUGAUGUUUUGGGAUACAUAUAGAUAAUAAAAUGGUUACUAUAGUGAAGCAGAUUAAUAUAUCUAUGACCUCACAUAGUUACUUUUUUAUGACAAGAACAGCUAAAAUCUACUUAUUUAACAAAAAUUCCCAAUACAAUAUAAUUUUAUUAAUUUUAGUCCUCAUAUUGACAUUAGAUCUCUAGACUUGUCCAUCCUACGUAUCUACUGUUUUGUAUCCUUUGACCUACAUUCCCUCAUUUCCUCUCCCCUACCAACCCUGCCUGAGGUAACCGUUGUUUCAUUCUCUAUCUCUGUGUACUUGAGCUCUUUUUUUUUUUAAAUAUUCCAUAUAUAAUUGAGGUCAUGCAAUAUUUUUAUUCCUAUGUCUGGCUAUUUUUCACUUAGCGUAAUGUCCUCCAGGUCUAUCCAUGUUAUGGCAAAUGACAGGAUAUCCUUUUAUAAGGCUGAAUAAUAUUCCAUUGUAUAUAUAUGCCACACUUUCUUUAUCCACUUCUCCAUUGAUAGACAUUUAGAUUGUUUCCAUAUCUUGGCUAUUGUGAACAAUGUUGGAAUGAACAUGGGAGAUAUCUUUAUGGGGUGGUAUUUUCUUCUCCUUUGGGUAUAUACCCAGAAGAGGGAUUGCUGGGUCAUUGGUAGUUAUACUUUUAAUUUCUUUAGGAACCUCUAUAUUGUUUUCCAUAGUGGCUGUACCAGUCUACUGUCCCCCAGCAGUAUAUAUUAGGGUUCUCUUUUCUCCACACCAACAUUUGUUAUUUCUUCUUUUUGAUAACAGACAUUCUUAGGGGUGUGAGGUGAUAUUUCAUAGGUUUUAAUUUGCAUUUUCCUAAUGAUUAGUGACCCUGAGCACCUUUUCAUAUCCGUUGGCCAUUUUUAUGUCAUCUUUGGAGAGAUAUCUGUUCAGAUCCUCUGGCCAUUUUAAAAAUUGAGUUAUUUGGUUUUUUGCAGUUAAGUUGUAAGAGUUUUUAUAAAUUUUGGAUAUUAACCACUUAUUAGAUAUGUGGUUUGCAAAUAUUUUUUCCCAGUCUGUAGGUUGUCUUUUCCUUUGUUAAUUGUUUCCUUUGCUGUGUAGAAUCUUUUUAGUUUUACAUACUCCCAUUAAUUUAUUUUUGCAAAAGAUCAGAAUAAAAAUAAAUAGGGAAUAAAAAACAUAGAAAAAAAUUAAUCAAACCAAGAGUUGGUCAUUUGAAAAACAAAACACAAUUGACAAAGCCCUAGCUAGACUAUGAAAAAAAGAAAAGAUGCAAAUAAUAAAUCAAAUCAGAAAUAAAAGUGGAGACAUCACAACAGAUGCAUCAGAAAUAAAAAAGGAUUAUAAGGGACUGAUAUAGUUUGGAUAUCUGUCCCUGUGCAAAUCUCAUGUUGAAUUGUAAUCUCCACUGUUGGCGGUGGGGCCUGGUGGUAGGUGUUUGGGUCUUGGGAGCUGUUCCCUCAUGGCUUGGUGCUGUCCUUGUGAUAGGGAAUGAAUUCUCACAAGAUCUGGUUAUUCUAAAGUGUGGCACCUCUCCCCUCCCCACUCUCUCUCUUGCUUUUGCUAUGUUACAUGCCUGCUCCCACUUCCCCUUCUGCCAUAAGUAAAAGCUCGCUAAGGCCUUCCCAGAAGCCAAGCAGAUGUUGGUGCUAUGCUUGUACAGGCUGGAAAACCAUAAGCCAAUUAAACUUCUUUCUUUAUAAAUUACCCAGUCUCAGAUAUUUCUUUAUAGCAAUGCAACAAAUAGCCUAAUACAGAAAAUUGAUACCAAGGAGAGGGGCAUUGCUAUAAAGAUUCCUGAAAGUGUGGAAGCACCUUUGGAACCUGGGUAAUGGGCAGAAAUUGGAAGAAUUCACAUGGCUCAGAAGAAGAGAGGAAGAUGAGGAAAAGUUUAGAACUUCUUAGAGACUGGUUAAAUGGUUGUGACCAAAAUGCUGAUAGUGAUAUGAACAGUGAAGUCCAGGCUGACAAGGUGUCAGAUGGAAAUGAGGAACUUAUUGGGAACUGGAGCAAAGGUCACAGGUGUUAUGCCUUACCAAAGAGCUUAGCUGCAUUCUGUCUAUGCCCUAGGGAUCUGUGGAAGUUUGAACUUCAAAGUGAUGAUUGAGGGUAUCUGGUGGAAGAAAUUUCUAAGCAGCAAAGCCUUCAAGAUGUGUCCUGGCUGCUUCUAACAACCUAUGUCCAGAUAUUGGAGCAAAGAAAUGACAAAAUUUGGAAUUUAUAUUUAAAAGGGAAGGAUAGCAUAAAAGUUUGGAAAAUUUGCAGCCUAGCCAUGUGACAAAGAAAGAAAAAGCUUUUUUGGGGGAGAGAAAUUCAAGCAGGCUAUGGAGCAACCACCUGCUAGAGAUAUUUGCAUACCUAAAAGUGGGUUAAGUGUAAAUAUCCAGACAAUGAGGAAGAGGCCUCAAAGGCAUUUCAGUGAUAUUCAUGGCAGCCCCUCCCAUGACAGGCCCAGAGGCCUAGGAGGGAAGAAUGGGUUCAGGAGCCAGGCUCAGGGACCCACUGCCCUGCACAGCCUCGGGACACUGCUCCUCACAUCCCAGCUGCUCUGGUUUCAGCCUUGGUUCAAAGAGGUCCAGCUUAGGCCAGAGCUCCAGAGGGUGCAAGCCAUAAGCUCUGGCAGCUUCUACAUGGUGUUAAGCCUGCAGGUGCACAGAAUGCAAGAGUGAAAGUGGCUUGGAAGCAUCUUCCUAGGUUUCAGAGAAUGUACGCAAAAGCCUGGUGUUCAGACAGAAGCCUGCUGCUGGGGUGAAGCCCUCACAGAGAUACUCUACUAGGGCAGUGUGGAAGGAGAAUGUAAGGUUGGACCCUCACCCUAGUUCUCAGCCAAUGACUUCACCUGUUUUCUCAAAUGGAAAACCAAAACAAUCACAUAAACAUUCCAUUUUCCCAGUAUUCAAACUGCCCACUUAUUUGGAUCAGUAACUAUAUACUUGGCCUCCUCUUCUGUGCCUAAUUAAGGGAUCCUCCCUGCUCCUAUCAAAGACAAAACUCUACCUGAGUGCUCUGGAUCCUGGCCUCUGUCACCAUCACAGUGACAUUCCCUCCUGCAGUCAUCUUCUCUCUUUACCUCACAAUCACUUUCUACCUCUACUAGAUCAUUCCUGUUAGGGUACACACAUGACCUGCUAUAUCUUUUCCUAAACAAUAAAACCUCCUUUAACCUCCACAUCCCCCAAGGCUCAUCCCCUUCUCAACCCAUCACUUUGAUCUCUAUUCCCAACAAAACUUCUUGAAAGAGUUAUGUUUGUUGCUUUUUUACUGCACACUCUUUCUGAAUCCACUCCUCUUGAGUCUUGGCCCUCUCUUUUUCCCUGAAACUACUCUCACUAUGGUAUCAAUGACUUUCAUAUGGCCAAUUCCCCUGGUCACUUCUUUGUAUACAUAUAUUUUUUCUUUUUUAAAAAUUGAGGUAAAAGUCAUUUAUCAUAAAAUUCCUAUUGUGUAUAAAUUGGCCAGCCUGAAGUAUUUUGUUAUAGUAUCGGAAUGGAGUAAAAUACUUAAAUUUUCUAUGUCUUCGGUUUCUUAUAUUUAAGUGGGGAUUUCAUACACAGACAUACAUGCAUACAUAUACACACACACACACCUCUUAUCAUGCUAGGUAUUAUUUACUAUCAUGUACGUUAUUGUUGCUUUCUCAGUGGUGAAUUGCAUAGCAAUCCUAUUUCUGUUAAACUGGAAGCCUCAAACAAUUUUGUAGCUCUAUCUUGGUUAAGAUACUAUUUUAGAUUUUUUAACUUCUCUGGAUGAAUUUGAAAAAAAAAAAAAAGACACCAGGAGACUAGUGACACAGUGGGAGUGAAAAACAUGUAAUUUCUUAGAAAUAAUCAUGAAAACCUGGUUUACCAGAAAGCCUUAAGAGAACACAGGCAUAGUUUAAGGAAACCCUGAAAAUGAUUUUGUGGAAUGUAAGAAAUCCCUGCACAUCAAAUAUGUGUGAGUCACUGCAGGAAUGGAAUGGUACAAUGUAUUUUACCUUUAAUAUCGUCAUUUCAACAAUCAUUUGGUGCUAACAAGCAUCCGGAAUCUUCAUUAAGGAUACAUUUUACAGAAAGAGGUUUAAAAUUCUCCAUGUGUAGUGUUUCAAAUGGCUGUCUCUGAAUCAGGUGGGCAAAGACAGAACAGCUCUCUCUCCAGAAGCAGGCAGGUGAACUGGUAGAGGCUUCCAUAGCCUGCAGCGUGCCCAGAUAGAGCACGUGCCUUGAAGGCCUCUUUCUGUCAAUGGCACUUCCCUCUUUCUCAGUUCACUCUGGGCAGGAUCCUGAGUGCAAAUGUUGGUUUAAUAUACUGUUAAAAACCAUUUCUAAAAGGAUUAUUUUAAUUGUGACUUAAAUACCCACCAUCAUUCAUAAUUAUAAUAAAUGUAAAUGGACUAGACUCACUGACUAAAAAACAAAAUCCAGCUAGGUGUUGUUACAAGAAAUAUACCCAUAACAUGAUGGCAUUGAAAGAUUGAAAGUAAAAUAAUUUUUGACAAAGCUACCAGGCAAAUAAUAACCAAAAGAAAUCUAGGGUAGCCAUAUUAAUAUGAUAAAAAUACAUUUUAAGUUAAAAAAGCAUUAUUAGAGAUAAAGAAAGUCACUACAUAAUAAUUCAAUUCACAAAGAAGAAAAAAAGAAUUCUAAAUGAGCAUGCAUCUAAUAAAACAGAAUCAAAAUACAUAGAGGACUACAAAGAGAAACUGUCAGAUAUAUUCUCACAAUGCUGGAUUUUAAUAUACCUUGCUCAGUUAUUGAUAAGUGAAGCAUUCAAAAUAUUAGUAAUGAUAGAAAAUAUCUGAAUAACAUACUUAAUAAGCUGAACUUAAUAGAUACACAUAGAGCAAGACAUUCUUCCCAGGCUCUCAUGUAACAUUUGCGAAAACUGACCAUGUGCUAGACAAUUUAACCCUCAAUAAAUGCUGAAUAAUUGGUUUCAUAUAAAAUCUAGUGUCUGACCACAAUAAAAUUGUUAGAAAUCUGUAAUAAAAAUAAAGAUUAAACAUUUACACAUGUGAGUAAAUUUUAAAAUAAUACAUUCUAAAUAAAUUACGGGUCAAAAACAAAAUCAGUCAUUCCAUAAACAAACUCAUUUUAGGCUGACAGAAAAGCUAUAGGUGUUCUAGUCUUGGAAUAUUGCCGUGUAAAUUUAUUCUGAUAUUUGGAAAACACACUAUAUUCUGCAAUGAUGCAUUUGAAUUUUUAGAUUCAUAAAUAGAAAUUCAAUUUAAGAGGACUCUCUUGCUGUUAUCUAAGAUGUGAGAAGGGAGGGCAGUAUUCUCUGUGCUGUUCAAAUUAAAAGAGUUCCUAUGUUUCCUUUUUCAAAGAGAGGGACAUGGGGUGGCAGGAACUAUUCCUUUAGUUAGCUGGGUAUCUCAAAUAAAAAGAAUUUAUAUUUUCAUUGUUUUCUAUUUCUUUCUAUGGUGCAUUUCCUUUCUAAAUUUUAUCAUUUUCUUCAAGAAACAAAAGCCUUUUAAGUUUUUUAGGGAUUGUCAAACAUCAUUUUAGUCCAAAUACUUCAUUUACAGGUUGUUUUGCCCAAGAUUGAAUUGGCAGUUGGGGACAAAUAGGGGACUAGAGUCCAGGUUUCAGGACUCUCAGGACAGUGCUCGUUGGGCUGGAUAAUGGUCCCUUGACACAGGAGUCCUGAAGGAAGGUUCCCUAAUGUUCCAAAAUUUGAACUGCUUGGGGUCACAUCCCGAAUACGUGUUUGGCUGACUCCCUUGCUGAUGAAAAACUAUUAAACACCAAGAAAGCUCUUCUUCUCUCCCCUGCCCAUUUCCUCCAAACUCAAUCUCUCAUCCUCCAAAUUCCUUUAUUACCUCUUCCUGUGCUUACCUUUCAUUUAUAAAAAAAUACAUUUUAUCACAUCUACUUAUUUGCCCAUCAAUUAUAGACUAUGCUGUGUACCCUCUAAUUAUUUAUCUCUAUCUAAUAAGGGCUCUAAAGAAUACAGCCAUAGCUGCUUAGUUUUAUAAGGAUAAUAUCUAAAAUGUCCUCAUAUUUUAAAUAUUAUUUUAAUUUUGAAUCCCAUACUUACAGAAAAGUUACAGGAAUAGUAUAAAGAACUAUUUUGUCCCUGAGUCUUUUGAGAAUAAGUUGCUACCCCAAUGUCCCCCACUCAUACUUUGUGUGUAUUUUGUACGAAUAAAAACACUUCUACAUAACCACAAAACUGCCACCAGAAUCAGGAAAUUCACAUUAAUAGAUCUGAUUCUGUUAUCUUGUAUAUGGAAACAUUCAGAUUUCCCCCAAUUGUCCAAUAACACUGCCUGAUAACAAAGCAUUCAAAAUAAUCAUGAGUUCCAUUUACUUGUCAUGUCUCUUUAGUUUCCUUCAAUGAUCUGGAUGCUAGAAUGUCCCUCAAUUUGCAUUGCUCACGCCUUUGGGAUUUACCAGCUCUUACCCUCUGGUCAUCCAUCCUUUUAUGUAUUAGCCUAAAGGAUGACUUCAGGAGUAGUGUCUUUCAUUAUCUUGGGGUAUUAUUAGAGAGCUCCACCUACACCAGUUCAAGAAGGUUCUUACUGCUCUUGGGUAAAAACAAAGCUUUGAUAGUAACAGGAGAGGGAUCUUGCCACUUCCAGGUGCCUACUAAUGAUUCUUCCAUGCAAUCUGUUCCUGUUCCUGUUUACUGUAAGAAACAAGGACUCCUCUUAGGGAAGGGAAGCAGCUUGUGAAGUGAGUUUCCAGAAGCUCAGAAUACAAUGCUUUGUCCCAAAUAUUUCCCUGUACCCCCACCAUCACACUUUAUAAAUCCCACCAGUGAAGGGUACAUUCACACAGCUGAAGAAAUCACUUCUCAAAGCAGCUGUUAGCUUCUUAGGAUAAGGUUCAGGGGCUGCAAAGAUGAGCACAGUGAAAAGACCGAAGCCCCGUUAGACACUCUAAGUGCUGGCUGGGAUUCUGCCACCAACUUUCUGGGUGGCACUGGGUGAGUGACUUUCACUUUUCAGAGCCUCAGUUACUUCAUCUGCAAUGUAGACUAACUGAUUUCUAAGGAUUCCUUCAGCUCUAAAUGUUCAAUUAUAAGUGAGAGCUCAGGAAGACAUUCUUUGCUUAUAGGUGAUCGAUAAUUAUUUGUUGAAAAAAUGAAGUAAAAAAUGACUUAAAAGCCAGAAGAAAAUAGACACUUUGUGAGUCAUGAAUUUCACUCCUUUUAAAAAUAAUAUCUGAGUAAGCAAAUUCUUUUUAAGGGCUUUCAAUCAUGAGUAAUUCUUUCUCAGGGAAAGGAGGGGAAAAUAGAAGAAAACUUGUUUUUCAAAGAGUCUGUUAAGUCCCAGGAAUGUUUUGUUUUUAUUUCAUCUUUGGGAUUCCCUCUUUUAUUUUUUAUAUAUUUUUUAAAUUGAUAAAAAAAUAUAUAUAACAAAAUUUCUUCUUUUGAAUGUACAGCUCUAUGAGUUUGGAUAAACUCAUUCAGCCAUCUAACUCACACCUCAACUGAGAUACAGAGCAAUUUCAUCACACUCCAGAAUUCCCUCAUAUCCUUUUGUAACCAAGUCCUCCCUCCACCCCUUGGUGAUAACUGACCUGUUUUUGUUCCUUCAGUUUUGCCUUUUCCAGAAUGUCAUAUGAAUGGAAUCAUUCAGAAUGCAGCUUUUAAAGAACUGGUGCCUUUCAAUUAACAUAGCAUCUUUGAGAUUCAUCUAAACUGCUGUGUGUAUUAUAAUUUGUUCCUUUUAUUGCUGAUCAGUGUUUCACUGUACGGAUGUGCUGCAGUUGGUUUAUCCAUUCAUAGCUGACCAAUAUUUGGGUUGUUCCUAGUUUUUGAAGAUUGUGAAUAAAGUUGCUAUAUGUAUUCAUAUGUAGGUUUUUGUGUGGACAUAUAUUUUCACUUGACUUGGAUAAAUACCUAGGAGUGGAAUUUCUGGGUUGUAUGGUAAGUGUAUAUUUAACUUUAUAAGAAACUGCUUAUUGCUUCUCAGCCGUUUGGUGAAGAUCAAGUGUGAAGAAACCACUCAACUGUUUUCCAAAGCAGAUGUUCCAUUUUGCAUUCCCACCAGCAGUGUAUGACAGUCUUAGUUGCUCCAUAUCCUUGCCAGACUUAGUAUUAAAAAAAAAAAAAAAAAAAAAAAAACCAGCUGGGCGCCGUGGCUCAUGCCUGUAAUCCCAACACUUUGGGAGGCCGAGGCCAGUGGAUCACGAGGGCAGGAGAUCAAGACCAUCCUGGCCAAUAUGGUGAAACCCCGUCUCUACUAAAAAUACAAAAAUAAGCCGGGCAUGGCGGCGUGUGCCUGUAGUCCCAGCUACUCGGGAGGCUGAGGCAGGAGAAUUGCUUGAACCCAGGAGGUGGAGGCUGCAGUGAGCCAAGAUCGUGCCACUGCAGUGACCUGAGAUCACGCCACUGCCCUCCAGCCUGGGUGACAGAGCAAGACUCCGUUUCAAAAAAAAAGAAAAAAAAUUUAUGCCAAGCACUUGAUAUCUAUUUUUUAAUGUGUUAUUUACACAAUCAUAUGAGGUAUGCGAUAUAACUCCUGUUUCACAGUUGAAGAAACUGAGGCACAGAUGUUAAGUAUCUUAACCACUAAAUGGCACUACAUGGAGGGGGGGUUCAGAUUGAUUCUCAUUCAGGCUUUGCUCCUAGCUAGCUGUGCAGUCUAGUCACUCAGUUCUGUAGGCCAGUCACUGUCUUCCUUUAUAAAUGAAGACAUUAACUUCUGGAACAAUUUCUAAGCUGAUUUUUAUUUUUA